AAAAAAACAAACGACGAAAUUUUAUAAAUAAAAUUUUAGGUUAAUUGUCUUAAUUAUUGUGUAUAUACAAAAAAAUGGGUAAUUAGUUUUGUGUAGUAGAUACUGUUUUAAUCGACAUAAUUAAUUAUUUUUAUUAUUGCGUAGUUAGUUUUCAAAUUUUCAUGAUGAUAUAUUGCGUUAAUUUCAAAUUGCGCGGAGCAUUAAAGAAAAAAAAUGACAAAAGAAUUCAUAAAUUAGGUCAACUAAUUACGGUGCUAAAGGCAGCGGAUAUUCAAAAAUUUAUUUUUUUUUUAAAUAAAAAAAAUUAAAUCAUGAUAAAACAAUAGAACAUAUAUGGGGCUGUGAGAAACACACAAUAAAAUAGAUCACGUAUUAUCAAAUAAAAUCAAAGAGAAAUUCGCACAAACCAAGCAAACAGAACAAGCAAGAGAGAGAAUGAGGGAACUAGGGAUAGGAAAACCAUGCAGAGAAAUUAUAGAUUGCACAAGGAAAUUUGAAAAAAAGAAACAAAUCUAGUCAGUACCAAGUCAAAAUUAGAGUAAUUAUAAGUAUAGUACAAUCUUCCCGAGAAAACCAGGGACCAAAUUACACUAAAUAAAGUGAGAAUGAUUGUGAGAGUGCUAAAUUAGGGAUGAAUGAUACCAAUCAAUGUAAAUGACUAAACUAAGAAUAAGAAAAAACUGUAAAAAAAACUGAACCUGAUGAACUUUUAGUAAUUUUUUUUGUAAAUAUUUUUAUCAAUUUAUUCUAAUGACAACUGACUCUUUCAUUGAAACAUUCAAAUUGUUGAAUUAGUAAAUUGAUCAAUUGAAAAACAAAAUCAAAUGGACAAAUCGCGUCUUCUAGACAUUUGACAACUUGUUCUUCUGUCAAACUUUCACAAAUGUCCAAAGGAUUCACAAACUGCUGGGAUAAAUCCACUAGUAUCUUUAAUUCCCGUAGCCAUUUCUCUAGCCCAAAUGUAAACACGGAC